rnacentral:rRNA from 1 species
UGCAGUCGAGCGAAUCGAUGGGAGCUUGCUCCCUGAGAUUAGCGGCGGACGGGUGAGUAACACGUGGGCAACCUGCCUAUAAGACUGGGAUAACUUCGGGAAACCGGAGCUAAUACCGGAUACGUUCUUUUCUCGCAUGAGAGAAGAUGGAAAGACGGUUCUGCUGUCACUUAUAGAUGGGCCCGCGGCGCAUUAGCUAGUUGGUGAGGUAAUGGCUCACCAAGGCGACGAUGCGUAGCCGACCUGAGAGGGUGAUCGGCCACACUGGGACUGAGACACGGCCCAGACUCCUACGGGAGGCAGCAGUAGGGAAUCUUCCGCAAUGGACGAAAGUCUGACGGAGCAACGCCGCGUGAACGAAGAAGGCCUUCGGGUCGUAAAGUUCUGUUGUUAGGGAAGAACAAGUACCAGAGUAACUGCUGGUACCUUGACGGUACCUAACCAGAAAGCCACGGCUAACUACGUGCCAGCAGCCGCGGUAAUACGUAGGUGGCAAGCGUUGUCCGGAAUUAUUGGGCGUAAAGCGCGCGCAGGUGGUUCCUUAAGUCUGAUGUGAAAGCCCACGGCUCAACCGUGGAGGGUCAUUGGAAACUGGGGAACUUGAGUGCAGAAGAGGAAAGUGGAAUUCCAAGUGUAGCGGUGAAAUGCGUAGAGAUUUGGAGGAACACCAGUGGCGAAGGCGACUUUCU